AUGGCCGCCAUCGUCGAGCAAGUCAUGGGGUGGUUCCCCGAGGCCGGCGGUGCCCAAGCCAUCGCAAAGCCCCCCUCCCUCUCCGCCGCCGCUGGCUACGACGGCGAGGACCGCGUCAGCGCCCUCCCGGACGAUCUCCUCCGCAACAUCGUCUCACGCCUCGUCCUCAAGGACGCCGCCCGCACCGCCUCCCUCGCCUCCCGCUGGCGCCACCUCUGGAAAUCAGCCCCGCUCGUCCUCCGCGACGUAGAUCUGCCCCGGCCCGCGGUCGGCCGCGUCCUCGCCGACCACUCGGGUCCCUUCCGCGGCGCCACCUUCGCCCGCUGCCGGUUCGCGUACCACGGGCGCGCGCUCGCCGACUGGCCGCGCCUCCUCGCCUCCAAGGGCGUCGAGGACCUCGUCCUCGUCGACAAUGUCUGCGACCCCACCGCCGACACCCUGCCCCUCCCCGCCGACGUCCUCCGCUGCGCCUCGCUCCAGCGCCUCUUCCUGGGCUUCUGGACCUUCCCGGACACAGCCGGCCUACCCCGCGGCGCCGGCGUGUUCCCCUACCUCCGGGAGCUCUACAUGUUCCUAAUCACCAUCACCGACCGUGGCCUCGACUACAUGCUCGCCUGCAGCCCGGUCCUCGAGACCCUCGCGCUCAUCUUCAACAAGACGCCCGAGCGCGUCCUCCUCCGCAGCAAAAGCCUGCGGUGCGUGCUCCUCUGGUUGUCCAUGGUGGAGGGGGAGGUCGCCGUGGUGGACGCGCCGCUCCUGGAGCGGCUCGUCCUGUUUGAAGCGCCUACUGGAGGUUCUGGUGAAGGUGAUGGGGUCCUGGUGAAGGUCAAGAUUGCUUGUGCACCCAAACUGCGGGUCCUCGGUUACUUGGAGCCAAGAAUCCACCAGCUGCACAUCGGUGACAAAGUCAUCAAGCCUAACACAAGGGCGAGCCCGAGCACCAUGGUUCCAGGCGUCAAGAUAUUGGGCCUGAAGGUUAACUUUGGUGCCUUGGAGGAGGUCAAGAUGCUGGUCAGCUGCCUCAGGUGCUUUCCCAACGUUGAGAUACUGCACAUCGAGUCUGCUCCAGCCGAUGGACCCACUGGACGGCACCUUGCCAAGUUCUGGAGGGAGGUCCGUCCUGUUAACUGCAUCAAGUCACACGUCAAGAAGGUCUAUGUCCAUGAGUUCCGCGGCGAUCAGAGUGAAUUUGAGUUCAUCAAGUUCAUUGGCAGCAACGCGCAGCAGCUGCAGGCUGCACUGGUUGUGCUGACCAAAGAAAAAUUUGAUUCGGCGGAUCAGGCUAAUGAGCUGACACGCAAAUUGGGGGAUCACACCUAUCACCCAUGGGCCGGUAAGGAUGUUGUGCUGCUGGUGCUAGGGCCUAAUCCAAAGGACGGUGUUUGGAGGCGGAGCUUCCGGAAAGCGUCUGACCUUACCGUUGAUGAUCCGUUUCAUUGA
rnacentral:rRNA from 1 species